rnacentral:rRNA from 1 species
AGUGGCGGACGGGUGAGUAACACGUAAGAAUUUGCCUUUAGGAGGGGGACAACAACUGGAAACGGUUGCUAAUACCCCAUAUGCUUUCGAGUGAAACGGAUUUUUCCGCCUAAAGAGAAGCUUGCGGCUGAUUAGCUUGUUGGUGAGGUAAUGGCUCACCAAGGCGACGAUCAGUAUCUGGUUUGAGAGGACGAUCAGACACACUGGAACUGAGACACGGUCCAGACUCCCACGGGAGGCAGCAGUGGGGAAUUUUCCGCAAUGGGCGAAAGCCUAACGGAGCAAUACCGCGUGAGGGAUGACGGCCUAUGGGUUGUAAACCUCUUUUUUCAGGGAGGAAUCAAAUGACGUGUACCUGAAGAAUAAGCAUCGGCUUACUCCGUGCCAGCAGCCGCGGUAAGACGGGGGAUGCAAGUGUUAUCCGGAAUCACUGGGCGUAAAGCGUCUGUAGGUGGUCAAAUAAGUCAACUGUUAAAUCUUGAGGCUCAACCUCAAAAUCGCAGUCGAAACUAUUAGACUAGAGCAUAGUAGGGGUAAAGGGAAUUUCCAGUGGAGCGGUGAAAUGCGUAGAGAUUGGAAAGAACACCGAUGGCGAAGGCACUUUACUGGGCUAUUACUAACACUCAGAGACGAAAGCUAGGGUAGCAAAUGGGAUUAGAUACCCCAGUAGUCCUAGCCGUAAACAAUGGAUACUAGAUGU